UAGGGAAUCUUCCACAAUGGACGCAAGUCUGAUGGAGCAACGCCGCGUGAGUGAAGAAGGUUUUCGGACCGUAAAGCUCUGUUGUUGGUGAAGAAGGAUAGAGGUAGUAACUGGCCUUUAUUUGACGGUAAUCAACCAGAAAGUCACGGCUAACUACGUGCUAGCAGCCGCGGUAAUACGUAGGUGGCAAGCGUUGUCCGGAUUUAUUGGGCGUAAAGCGAGCGCAGGCGGAAGAAUAAGUCUGAUGCGAAAGCCCUCGGCUUAACCGAGGAAUUGCAUCGGAAACUGUUUUUC
rnacentral:rRNA from 1 species